CUUGUGCCGUGACAGCUGCAGGCAGAUACGUGGCACGGUGGCAGCCAUGGUGGAUGUCCACCCCUUAAUUUCGCUGUAAGCUUAUUACUGUGGUAACUGAUUUGCAGUUGCAGAAGUUGAAUUCCCAUACAACCCAACACCGAGAAAAAAAAUUGAUUCCAGGACCGUUUGAAUUCUGAAUGUUGGCAGAGGGACCCUGGUUAUUGGACAUACUAGACGAUUGAAAUUAUUCAAAGACGACUCCGACAGAAAAAGGGCUAAUAAUCUUAGACUCAACAUGAAAUCACAGCCUAGUUUGAUUUUUGCCUCUUGGACAACAUAAUCUAUUACUAGAAGCAAGACCUUUCAAGAUUUAAUGCUGCAACACUAUAUGCAGGGAUUCCAGUUUUGGUACAUGUAUACAGGAGAUGCAUUGCUGGGCUAUAAUGCAUCAAUAAUUCAAAAUGGAAGUGGAUGGCGUCA